ncrna:unclassified sequences Betaproteobacteria-1 RNA
GUUCUGAUUGGGGAUUCACCACCACCAGCGGUCAGGAUAGAAGCGUUACUGGGGGAUAAGGAAUGUAAUAGCGCAAAUGCCGGUGGCGAAGUUAGUGCCGGUUUCCUGAACGACUGACGGGU